rnacentral:rRNA from 1 species
GAUGAACGCUGGCGGCGUGCCUAAUACAUGCAAGUCGAGCGAACGGACGAGAAGCUUGCUUCUCUGAUGUUAGCGGCGGACGGGAGAGAAACACGUGGAUAACCUACCUAUAAGUCUGGGAUAACUACGGGAAACCGGAGCUAAUACCGGAUGAUAUUUUGAACCGCAUGGUUCAAAAGUGAAAGACGGUCUUGCUGUCACUUAUAGAUGGAUCUGCGCUGCAUUAGCUAGUUGGUAAGGUAAUGGCUUACCAAGGCAACGAUGCAUAGCCGACCUGUGAGGGUGAUCGGCCACACUGGAACUGAGACACGGUCCAGACUCCUACGGUAGGCAGCAGUAGGGAAUCUUCCGCAAUGGGCGAAAGCCUGACGCAGCAACGCCGCGUGAGUGAUGAAGGUCUUCGGAUCGUAAAACUCUGUUAUUAGGUAAGAACAUAUUUGUAAGUAACUGUGCACAUCUUGACGGUACCUAAUCAGAAAGCCACGGCUAACUACGUG